rfam:Foot-and-mouth disease virus Asia 1 isolate asia1-1pak iso3, complete genome.
ACGCAGGUUUCCCCAACUGACACAAACCGUGCAACUUGAAGCUCCGCCUGGUCUUUCCAGGUCUAGAGGGGUGACACUUUGUACUGUGUUUGACUCCACGCUCGGUCCACUGGCGAGUGUUAGUAACAGCACUGUUGCUUCGUAGCGGAGCAUAGUGGCCGUGGGAAUCCCUCCUUGGUAACAAGGACCCACGGGGCCAAAAGCCACGUCCUAACGGACCCACUAUGUGUGCAACCCCAGCACGGCAACUUUUCUGCGAAACCCACUUUAAGGUGACACUGAUACUGGUACUCGAACACUGGUGACAGGCUAAGGAUGCCCUCCAGGUACCCCGAGGUAACACGCGACACUCGGGAUCUGAGGAGGGGACUGGGGCUUCUAUAAAAGUGCCCAGUUUAAAAAGCUUCUACGCCUGAGUAGGCGACCGGAGGCCGGCGCCUUUCUUUUAAUUACCACUGUUUU